UACUAUAUAAAGAACUUGAAGUUUCCUAUGCAUAAUACUGAGAACAAAAGAUAAUAAUAGAAUACAAAGACAAAAUCUUCAGAAAAAAUGACAGUGCACAUUUGCAAACUUUUUCUCAUGGGAGUUUUAUGCAUUACAUUGCUCCUAUCUUUUGGAGCAACGGGUAGCGAUAUAGCGGAAACAUGCAUUGGUGGACUAUGUAUUGAUUGUGCCGUAAGAUGUUUAUGGUUAGGAUUUCCGAAAGGUGAAUGUAAUUUUCGUUCCUUAUGUUGUUGUUAUAACUAGUUAGUAGUUGUCGUUUUUAAAAUAAAUUACAGUAUUGUAAAUACUUAAUAAUAUAGAAUAAAAUAAAUAAAUCUUCCUCCAAAAUUUUGCUUUUAUGUUUGAAGCAUACACAUUUGAUGUCUGGUUUGAGUAAAAGUAAAGUGGAAGACUUGAAAGAAGAAUGACUUCUCCUUCAACUUAAAGACAGGGUGAAAAUUGUUUCCAUUUUAAUAUUGUAUAUUAUGGGUGUAAUUAUAGUUUAUAUUCAAUGAAAUAUUACUAUUUUAUUUUAUAA